UUAACACUAAUAAAAUAGAACGAAGUACAAACUACCCCGCUAUAGCUACAGGGAGCUGGGGCUGUGGUGCCUUUGGGGGUAACGCUCGCCUUAACCUUAUUACAACUAAUGGCCUGUGUGGAGGCGGACAGGCCAAUGUCCUAUUAUACCUUUGGAGAUGUUGAACUAAGAUCACAAUCAUCAUAUCAACAAAAUGUAUAGUUUUCUUGUACAACAUAAAGUUACUGUUGGCGAAUUGUAUAAAUGUAUUCUAGAGUUCUGCGAUUCUGAAAUCCCAAGAGAAAAUUUCUAUGGAUACUUGGAAGAUCAUAUAAAGGAAAUAUAGUGCUUCUUUGUAAAAUUAUAGUCACAAAAUAAAACACAUACCAUAAUA